AACGAACGCUGGCGGCAGGCUUAACACAUGCAAGUCGAACGGAUCCUUCGGGAUCAGUGGCGGACGGGUGAGUAACGCGUGGGAACCUACCCUGGGGUGGGGAAUAACCUUGGGAAACCGAGGCUAAUACCGCAUACGCCCUAUUGGGGAAAGACUAUGUUGCCCUGGGAUGGGCCCGCGUCCGAUUAGCUAGUUGGUGGGGUAAUGGCCUACCAAGGCUGCGAUCGGUAGCUGGUCUGAGAGGAUGAUCAGCCACACUGGGACUGAGACACGGCCCAGACUCCUACGGGAGGCAGCAGUGGGGAAUCUUGCGCAAUGGGCGAAAGCCUGACGCAGCAACGCCGCGUGCGGGAUGACGGCCUUCGUGGUUGUAAACCGCUUUCAGCAGGGACGGAAAAUAGACGGUACCUGCAGAAGAAGCCCCGGCUAACUACGUGCCAGCAGCCGCGGUAA
rnacentral:rRNA from 1 species